rnacentral:lncRNA from 10 species
GGCCUCAUCAGUGAAAAGAAGGACUGACUUCCAGUUCCAGACAAGUGACUGAGUAGAUUUUGACAGACAGGCAUGGAGCAGGCAGGCUGGCUGGAAACUUCAGUGAUUAUAAAAGUUAAGGAGCCUUUCUGAAGAUGUAAUUGGUUAAGAUAAGAUCAUACUGGAUGUGGAUGGGUCCUAGAUCUGACUGCUGAUAUCCUUAUAAGAAGAAGAAAGGACACGCGGAGACUACAGUGAUGUUGCCACAAGCCAAGAAAUGCCAAGAAUUUCGGGAGCCACCAGAAGAUGGAAGAGGCAGGGAAAAAUCCUCCCCUAAAGCCUUCAGAGAGAGCAUAGCUCUGCCAACACCUUGAUUCUGGACAUCUAGCCUCUUAAACUUCCUCAGGUGUCUCAUUUCUUCUGUCUCAGAAGUCAUGGAUGUCAAUGAAGAUAUGGAAUUCACUUAUUCAUUCUUAUAAAUAUUACUUAGUGUCCUUGUGCUUGGCACUGUGCUUGGUCAUUGAGAUCUACUGUUC